CGAUGCUAUCCGGGUGGGACUAAGCCAUGCAAGUCGAAUGGGAUACCUAAAUUUCCCAUGGCGAACUGCUCAGUAACACGUGAUCAACUUACCCUGUGGAGAAAAAUAAUUCGGGAAACUGAAGAUAUCUUCAUAAUUGAGAAUGCUUGGAAAGGUUUCUCAAUAAAAGAACAUUUCAAAUGGGAAAUGUAUCGCCGCAGGAUAGGAUCGCGUCCGAUUAUGGCAGUUGGUGAGGUAAUGGCUCACCAAACUAUAUCGGUAAGGGCCGUGAGAGCGGAAGCCCUGAGAUGGGUACUGAGACAAUGACCCAGGUCUUACGAGAUGCAGCAGGCGCGAAACCUUCACAAUGCACGAAAGUGAGAUGAGGUUACCCGGAGUGCUACAAAGUAGCUGUGGCAGGUGAGUAAGGUUCCCUGCUAGGAAGGAGAGGGCAAGGCUGGUGCCAGCCGCCGCGGUAAAACCAGCUCUUCAAGUGGUCGGGAUUAUUAUUGGGCUUAAAGUGUUCGUAGCCUGUUUAGUAAGUUCUUGGUUAAAUCGGAUAGCUUAACUAUCUGUCUGCUAAGAAUACUACUAUACUAGGGGGCGGGAGAGGUCUGAGGUACUCCAGGGGUAGCGGUGAAAUGCUAUAAUCCUUGGGGGACCACCAGUGGCGAAGGCGUCAGACUGGAACGCGCCCGACGGUGAGGGACGAAAGCCAGGGGAGCGAACCGGAUUAGAUACCCGGGUAGUCCUGGUUGUAAACGAUGCGUGCUAGGUGUUGGUAUAGCUAUGAGCCGUAUCAGUGCCGUAGGAAAACCGAUAAGCGCGCCGCCUGGGGAGUACGGUCGCAAGGCUGAAACUUAAAGGAAUUGGCGGGCGAGCACCACAAGGGGUGAAGCCUGCGGUUC
rnacentral:rRNA from 1 species